CCGCACGGGUGAGUAACACGUAUCCAACCUGCCGUCUACUCUUGGACAGCCUUCUGAAAGGAAGAUUAAUACAAGAUGGCAUCAUGAGUUCACAUGUUCACAUGAUUAAAGGUAUUCCGGUAGACGAUGGGGAUGCGUUCCAUUAGAUAGUAGGCGGGGUAACGCCCACCUAGUCUUCGAUGGAUAGGGGUUCUGAGAGGAAGGUCCCCCACAUUGGAACUGAGACACGGUCCAA
rnacentral:rRNA from 1 species